rnacentral:rRNA from 1 species
AUACGGAGGGUGCGAGCGUUAAUCGGAAUUACUGGGCGUAAAGCGUACGUAGGCGGUUGGUUAAGUUAGAUGUGAAAGCCCCGGGCUUAACCUGGGAACUGUAUUUAAAACUGGCGAACUAGAGUUGAGUAGAGGGGAGUGGAAUUUCAGGUGUAGCGGUGAAAUGCGUAGAGAUCUGAAGGAACACCAGUGGCGAAGGCGACUCCCUGGACUCGAACUGACGCUGAGGUACGAAAGCGUGGGUAGCAAACGGGAUUAGAAACCCUAGUAGUCC